GACGAACGCUGGCGGCGUGCUUAACACAUGCAAGUCGAACGGAAAGGCCCUGCUUUUGUGGGGUGCUCGAGUGGCGAACGGGUGAGUAACACGUGAGUAACCUGCCCUUGACUUUGGGAUAACUUCAGGAAACUGGGGCUAAUACCGGAUAGGAGCUCUUGAGCCGGGUGGGGGGUUGGAAGGUUUCGGCGGUGGGGGAUGGACUCGCGGCUUAUCAGCUGGUUGGGGGGGUAGGGGCUUACCAGGGCUUUGACGGGUAGCCGGCCUUGGAGGGUGACCGGCCACAUUGGGACUGAGAUACGGCCCAGACUCCUACGGGAGGCAGCAGUGGGGAAUAUUGCACAAUGGGCGGAAGCCUGAUGCAGCAACGCCGCGUGCGGGAUGACGGCCUUCGGGUUGUAAACCGCUUUCGCCUGUGACGAAGCGUGAGUGACGGUAAUGGGUAAAGAAGCACCGGCUAACUACGUG
rnacentral:rRNA from 1 species